rnacentral:rRNA from 1 species
CACUAGUCUUUUUAAUUGAAGGCUUGUAUGAAUGGUUGGACGAGAGAAAAGCUGUCUCAGUCAAAAAAUUGAAAUUAACUUUUAGGUGAAAAGGCCUAAAUAAUUUGAGAAGACGAUAAGACCCUAUAAAUCUUAAUAUUAGUGCGAAGUAGUCUUUCGAUUUGUAAGUAAAAAAAACACUAAUUCGCUAGUAUUUUGUUGGGGCGACAAAAAUAUAGAAAGUUUACCUGUUUUAAAUUGAGUACAAUUUUUUUUGAUUACUACAAAGAUCCUUCUUAAAGAUUAAGAGAUUAAGUUACUUUAGGGAUAACAGCGUUAUUUUCCUCGAGAGUCCAUAUCGAAAGGAGAGUUUGCGACCUCGAUGUUGAAUUAAAAUUUCUCUG